AUCGGCGGUACGGGGUCGUAGGCCUCAAUCACUGUCAGCCCUUAUUAAUGGAUGCAACCCAACGCUCUCGGAGAAUCGGAUAUGCUAAAAGUCUUUCGAGGCCUUAAUCACUGUCAGCCUCAUGGAUUCUGCGGAUUGCAGCUCGGAAUCAGAUCUAAGUUCGUGGUCAAACUCUUCUGUUGGCGAUGGGCCAACUGCCAGUAGCUGCACACUGCAAGCCUGCCCCUCGAAUGGGUGUA